rnacentral:rRNA from 1 species
UACGUAGGGUGCGAGCGUUGUCCGGAAUUAUUGGGCGUAAAGAGCUCGUAGGCGGCUUGUCGCGUCGGUUGUGAAAGCCCGGGGCUUAACUCCGGGUCUGCAGUCGAUACGGGCAGGCUAGAGUGUGGUAGGGGAGAUCGGAAUUCCGGGUGUAGUGGUGGAAUGCGUAGAGAUCCGGAGGAACACCAGCGGCGAAGGCGGCAUCCUGGACUGGUACUGACGCUCAAGAGCGAAAGCGUGGGGAGCGAUCCGG